rnacentral:rRNA from 1 species
GAUGAACGCUGGCGGCGUGCCUAAUACAUGCAAGUCGAGCGAACGGACGAGAAGCUUGCUUCUCUGAUGUUAGCGGCGGACGGGUGAGUAACGCGUGGAUAACCUACCUAUAAGACUGGGAUAACUUCGGGAAACCGGAGCUAAUACCGGAUAAUAUUUUGAACCGCAUGGUUCAAAAGUGAAAGACGGUCUUGCUGUCACUUAUAGAUGGAUCCGCGCUGCAUUAGCUAGUUGGUAAGGUAACGGCUUACCAAGGCAACGAUGCAUAGCCGACCUGAGAGGGGGAUAGGCCACACUGGAACUGAGACACGGUCAAGACGCCUAAGGGAGGCAGCAGUAGGGAAUCUGCCGCAAUGGGCGAAAGCCUGACGGAGCAACGCCGCGUGAGUGAUGAAGGUCUUCGGAUCGUAAAACUCUGUUAUGAGGGAAGAACAGAUGUGUAAGUAACUGUGCACAGCUUGACGGUACCUAAUCAGAAAGCAACGGCUAACUACGUG